UACGUAGGGGGCUAGCGUUGUCCGGAAUCAUUGGGCGUAAAGAGCGUGUAGGCGGCCCGGUAAGUCCGCUGUGAAAGUCGGGGGGCUCAACCCUCGAAUGCCGGUGGAUACUGUCGGGCUAGAGUGCGGAAGAGGCGAGUGGAAUUCCUGGUGUAGCGGUGAAAUGCGCAGAUAUCGGGAGGAAUACCGGUGGCGAAGGCGGCAUCCUGGACCGACAUUGACGCUGAACGGCGAAAGCUAGGGGAGCAAACGGG
rnacentral:rRNA from 1 species